rnacentral:tRNA from 1 species
GGGGUUGUGGCUCAGUGGUAGAGUACUUGCCUCGCAUGCAUGAGGUGCUGGUUUUGAUCCUCAGCACUA